AUAUGGGGCCCCUUAUAGAUGAUCUGCAUGGGCAACCACAAAGUGCUGACCAUUCGCUCAAGUAAAAUUCCCUGCUGAUCUAUCCCACAGUGCUGACUCCAUAAAUCUCUCACAAUGUGCUGACUCUAGGUGCUGGCUGACCCAUGGGACCAAGCUCUCUUGCUGACACUGAUAGUCCAGAUUUACUACACACUAGCACCCUCAGGCUCGCCCAAUCAUGCUAAGUAGAGUCUGAGGUCUCCCACAUAGUGCUUACCAUUCACAAAGUCAUGGUGACCAAGCUCUCUUGCUGACUAGUGUAGUAGCUAGAGCUUGGUAACUAUGACUUGCAAACACAGUUAGUUGUCAAUGAAUCAGGUGUAUAUAAAGACAAUGCAGUACAGUUUGGCUAGUAUUUUAGUUACUGUAUAGUCUACAUUGCUCCCACAAUUCCGAAGUCAGUGAAAAUGGACUCCAAAGUGCAAAUUGGCUCCUCUAAGUUGCAAAUGGAAGAGCAAGAAACUGAGACGUACCCAUAUGCUGCCAUCACUACUUACCUACAAUCAGGCAUGUAUCCACCAGACGCUGACAAAAAGGAGAAGCGUGGCCUCUGCAAAAGAGCGAAGUAUUUCGUGCUGUUCGGGGGCAAGCUGCAGUAUGUAGGAGGAAAUAAGAACACUCCUAGGUUGGUAGUGGAAGGUGAAGAAGACAGAAGAAAGAUCAUUGAGAGCAUCCAUGGGCAAGCUCAUCUAGGAAGAGACAAAACACUUUCUCAGCUAACUCAACGAUACUACUGGCCAAACAUGUACAAGACAGCAUGUGCCUACAUUGCUUCAUGUGACCACUGCCAGCGCCAAAACCAUAAGUUGCAUAAAACUAAUGCAACACUUCAUCCCAUUCCUGUUUAAAGAAGAAGCCUGGUAUCAGGUUGGAAUGGAUUUAGUGGGUCCUCUGCCUGUAACUCCAGCAGGAAACAAGUUCUUGAUGACAAUUACAGAUUACUACACAAAGUGGGCUGUAGCUGCUGCUCUAAAAGACAAAACUGCAUUGUCAGUAGCCAACGUCUUAUACUCAGUAUAAUUAUAUAAAUUAUGUGCUGUGCAUGCAACGGCCCUUAGUAUAAUUAUUUACUGUAACACAGGUAUUUUGCACAUACGGCUGCCCUACUGUUAUCCUUAGUGACCAAGGAAGAGAAUUUGUCAAUAAAGUUACUGAGGCACUCUUUAAAAGAACAAACACACAGCAUAGAAUCACUUCCGCCUAUCAUCCUCAAGUAAGAAGCAUGCAUGCACAUAAUUAAAUACUACAUGUAUAAUAAAUUAUGGCAUAUAUAUAGAUAUACUUUCACACCACCCCAGAAAGGAAGUUCGAAAAAGGAGUGAACGUUUUUACUUUUACCUAGUGCAAAAAGGAGUGAAUACAUAUAGGAUAUACAUGCAACUAUUAUAAUUAUGGUAUAAUUAUUAUGGCUAAUUACUGGAUUUUCAGACUAAUGGCCUCACAGAGCGAUUCAAUCAGACAAUCUGUCGUUCUCUCAGCAAGUUAGUGAAUGAAGCACACAAUGAUUGGGAUACAAAGCUAGACACUAUUCUGUUUGCAUACCGAGUGUCGAAACACCGAUCAACCGGCUAUUCACCAUUCUUCAUGAUGUUUCAUCGUGAAGCUCGGCUGCCUAUAGAAGCAGAUGUAGAGCAAAACGAAACAGUGACCAGUGAAGAUAUAGAUGCAGAGACAACUGCAGAUGCUUUUAUUGAGAAAAUGCUCAAGAGGCAAGAAGAUAUAAAGAGCAUAGCUGGUGAAAACAUAAAAAAAUCUCAAAAAAAGCAAAAGGAGUGCUAUGAUAUCAUAAACGGCAUUCACCAGAGGAACUGCAACCUGGAAUUAAGGUUUUGGUUGAGAACACCCAACAAAAGGAGAGGAAAGGUGGAAAGCUCGAAAACAAGUAUAGUGGACCAUACAUUAUUAAGACCUCAGAUGGAAAGGGUGUCUAUACCCUUAAGGACUUGGAUUUUGUCAUAAACGCAAUGGUUCUUGUCCACAAUUUCGAGGUUACGUAUCAGCUCUUGGACAACCUGACCAAUUAGUAGUAGGAGCUGUUACCAUAGAUGUGCAAACAAUUAACUACAUAAUUCCUUCUUUGGGAAGGUGUGUCGUCACAACUCAACUACAGAAAAUGUGGACCUGGUUCACUACCCAUCCUGUUGAUCAUGUUCUUUCCUCACCCAAAAAAGAACAGUAUCUGAUGUAUCCUAGUGGAAACCCAUUCCCAAAAAUUCCAAUCCCAUCAAAGGCUCAACAAACAGUUCUGGAGAAGAGGAAACCAGCUGUUCGAAAAUGAAUUGAAUUGUCUCUAUGCACGAGAUAUCUUAAUGGUGAAGAGGUCAACAACAUCAAGAAACUCUCAGAUUGAGUGGAAGAAAAUCGACCCAUUUGCAAAGCCAUUUGGAACUGUUACCCGAGAUGAAAUUAAAUAUAAAAAAGACAAUCUUGAAUGCUUUGGUGUUAGUGAGUUACGUCUUUUACUAUAUACAAGAUGCUCUGGGAAGUCAUUUGCCGGGAAAAAAUUUUCUGGCAAAAUUGAAAUCGAAAUCAAAGUUGAGCAGACAAAAGGAGCCACAAUUGUGUCAAAAGUCAAAAUACUGGUGACAAAGAAGAAAGCAACAAUUGACUUGCCAUAUGGAGGGCGUCCAAAAACAUACUGCCGCUUAAUUCAAUACACACCAAUGGCCACCAAUGCACUGGUACUCAGCUCUUCAUCACGACUUCAUAUUUCGCUUUCAAUUAAGCAAAGUGGAGGAGCAUGUGCUGAGGACACUCACCUUUUUGUCAGG